UACGGGGGGGGCAAGCGUUGUUCGGAAUUACUGGGCGUAAAGGGUUCGUAGGUGGCUCGCUAAGCCAGACGUGAAAUCCCUCAGCUUAACUGGGGAACUGCGUCUGGGACUGGCGAGCUCGAGUGCAGGAGAGGAAUGCGGAAUUCCAGGUGUAGCGGUGAAAUGCGUAGAUAUCUGGAGGAACACCGGUGGCGAAGGCGGCAUUCUGGACUGCAACUGACACUGAGGAACGAAAGCCAGGGGAGCAAACGGG
rnacentral:rRNA from 1 species